CAAUAGCGUAUAUUAAAGUUGUUGCGGUUAAAAAGCUCGUAGUUGGAUUUCUGCCGAGGACGACCGGUCCGCCCUCUGGGUGAGUAUCUGGUUCGACCUGGGCAUCCUCUUGGAGAACGUGGCUGCACUUGAUUGUGUGGUGCGGUAUCCAGGACUUUUACUUUGAGGAAAUUAGAGUGUUUCAAGCAGGCACACGCCUUGAAUACAUUAGCAUGGAAUAAUAAGAUAGGACCUCGGUUCUAUUUUGUUGGUUUCUAGAGCUGAGGUAAUGAUUAAUAGGGAUAGUUGGGGGCAUUCAUAUUUCAUUGUCAGAGGUGAAAUUCUUGGAUUUAUGAAAGAUGAACUUCUGCGAAAGCAUUUGCCAAGGAUGUUUUCAUUAAUCAAGAACGAAAGUUAGGGGAUCGAAGACGAUUAGAUACCAU
rnacentral:rRNA from 1 species